UGUUCCAUGCCCACUCAGAAAUCCUAGCUAAGGAAAGUCCACCUUUUUCAAGUUACAAAGCAGGAUAAUGGUCAAUGUGGCUAAAGUUGAGACACAGGUUAUGCUUUCAUAACAGUAAAUAUUUACAGUGGUGACAAUGAGGCCUGUAACAUUU
rnacentral:snoRNA from 1 species